GAUGAACGCUGGCGGCGUGCCUAAUACAUGCAAGUCGAGCGAACAGACGAGGAGCUUGCUCCUCUGACGUUAGCGGCGGACGGGUGAGUAACACGUGGAUAACCUACCUAUAAGACUGGGAUAACUUCGGGAAACCGGAGCUAAUACCGGAUAAUAUAUUGAACCGCAUGGUUCAAUAGUGAAAGACGGUUUUGCUGUCACUUAUAGAUGGAUCCGCGCCGCAUUAGCUAGUUGGUAAGGUAACGGCUUACCAAGGCAACGAUGCGUAGCCGACCUGAGAGGGUGAUCGGCCACACUGGAACUGAGACACGGUCCAGACUCCUACGGGAGGCAGCAGUAGGGAAUCUUUCGCAAAGGGCGAAAGCCUGACGGAGCAACGCCGCGUGAGUGAUGAAGGUCUUCGGAUCGUAAAACUCUGUUAUUAGGGAAGAACAAAUGUGUAAGUAACUAUGCACGUCUUGACGGUACCUAAUCAGAAAGCCACGGCUAACUACGUG
rnacentral:rRNA from 1 species